rnacentral:rRNA from 1 species
CCUACGGGAGGCAGCAGUGGGGAAUAUUGGACAAUGGGCGAAAGCCUGAUCCAGCAAUGCCGCGUGAGUGAUGAAGGCCUUAGGGUUGUAAAGCUCUUUUACUAGGGAUGAUAAUGACAGUACCUAGAGAAUAAGCCCCGGCUAACUCCGUGCCAGCAGCCGCGGUAAUACGGAGGGGGCUAGCGUUGUUCGGAAUUACUGGGCGUAAAGAGUACGUAGGCGGUUAUUCAAGUCAGAGGUGAAAGCCUGGAGCUCAACUCCAGAACUGCCUUUGAAACUAGAUAGCUAGAAUCAUGGAGAGGUUAGUGGAAUUCCGAGUGUAGAGGUGAAAUUCGUAGAUAUUCGGAAGAACACCAGUGGCGAAGGCGACUAACUGGACAUGUAUUGACGCUGAGGUACGAAAGCGUGGGGAGCAAACAGGAUUAGAUACCCUGGUAGUCCACGCCGUAAACGAUGAUAACUAGCUGUUCGGGCUCUCAGAGCUUGAGUGGCGCNGCUACGCAUAAGUUAUCCGCCGUGGGAGGUACGGUCGGCGAGAGUUAAACUUAACUAAUAGUUAAGUUAGUACGGCGUUGAGACGUUGCCGACGGACGACGACGAGGGAGGAGG